GUACAAUAAGCUAAAUAAGGGCGUAUGGGGGAUGCCUAGGCUCUCAGAGGCGAAGAAGGACGUGAUAAGCUGCGAAAAGCUGCGGGGAUUGGCACACACGAAUUGAUCCGCAGAUCUCCGAAUGGGGCAACCCGGCUGGUUGAAGGCCAGUCACACCGUAAGGUGAGCGAACCCGCUGAACUGAAACAUCUAAGUAG
rnacentral:rRNA from 1 species